AUUGAACGCUGGCGGCAUGCCUUACACAUGCAAGUCGAACGGUAACAGGUCUUCGGAUGCUGACGAGUGGCGAACGGGUGAGUAAUACAUCGGAACGUGCCUAGUAGUGGGGGAUAACUACUCGAAAGAGUGGCUAAUACCGCAUGAGAUCUACGGAUGGAAGCAGGGGAUCGCAAGACCUUGUGCUACUAGAGCGGCCGAUGGCAGAUUAGGUAGUUGGUGGGAUAAAAGCUUACCAAGCCGACGAUCUGUAGCUGGUCUGAGAGGACGAUCAGCCACAAUGAGACGGAGACACGGGCGAGUAUCCUGUGGUGGGCAACAGGGGUGAAUUUUGGACAAUGGGCGAAAGCCUGAUCCAGCGAUGCCGCGUGAAGGAUAAAGGCCUUCGGGUUGUAAACUGCUUUUGGACGGAACGAAAAGCCCCGGGUUAAUACCCUGGGGUCAUGACGGUACCCUAAGAAUAAGCACCGGCUAACUACGUGGCAGCAGCCGCCGUAA
rnacentral:rRNA from 1 species